CCACAGCCACAGCAACACCAGGUUCGAGCUGCCUCUGCAACCUAAUACUGCAGCUUGAUGCAACGCUGGAUCCUUAACCCACUGAGUGAGGCCAGGGAUUGAACCUGCAUCCUCAUGGAUACUAGUCAGGUUCUUAACCUAAAGAUGUUUUAGUCUUGAUGGAACAUUUUUAAAAAGUAAAAAUUUUAGCAUUAUCAUUGUUAGUAAUGUCAUAACAUUGUACAGCUGUUGUAAAAUUGGGAAAACCUUUUGCCAUGCUAUUGAACAGUGAUAGAUCUGCUCUCUAUUUUUAAUAUAGUUAAUGGUUUGUUCCCUUCAAAUCUAGAAAUUCUAAUAAAUUCUGUCUCACACAAUUAUCACAAACUGAGAGAAAUAUGGACCUUUUAUAAUUGUAGUUACUGCUUUUAAAAAUAUAUUCCUGACAAGAUAACAUCCGUUUUGAUUAGAUCUUGAUGAGAACCAAAUUCUCUGUUAAAAUUUUAUACAUUUGGUGAUUGAAAAAAUUUUGUACAAAUUAGCUUCUGGCUCCAUACAUUUCAAGCUCAUUUCUCCACAGUCACAUGCUAUUAGAACUGAGCUAUGAAGGAGUCAGCCUCUAGUCCUGCACCUCUAUGUCAGGAGAUCAGGGAGGUAAGGGGAUUCUUAGAACCUAUACCUGCCUAGGGAUAGCUGGUGAUGACUUUCAUGGGGCUAUCUGUGAACCAUGUCCAUAUAUGACAAUGUACUGAAACUGUAUGUAUCUCCAACUGAAUGAACCGCCCCUUAAUCAUAUCUCCAAAAGGCACAUGGCCAUCCAGUGCCACCGAGUAGGAAGGGAGUGCAAAGAGAUAGUGGCUUUAACCAAUUUCUGUUAAAAAAAAUAUUACUUUGCACAUUUUGCAAAUUCAGGUGCCCAUGUGAACCCAAUGCUGUGGCUCUCUAAGGACCUUAGAAAGAGCCCAUGCAAAUUAGGCCCUUGAAGCUUAAACUUCAUUCACUUAAAUUCACCUCUGCUCGCAUUCUCUCUAUAUUCACUAAAGGAGAGAAAUAGCCCAAACUGAGAAAGCUUGUUCUGUGAGAGAAAGGACACUGAUCUAGAGCCUGGAGGAUGUGAGCUUUGUCCCAGCUCUCCCAUCUCUGUUCCUUUGGGCCACCAUCUGGGAUUUACUGUUGUAAUCUGUUAAGUGUUGGCUCUUCCUCAAUUGCAAAAGGAAGUGAGAAAUCAGAAUUCUAGUCAUGGGACCCUUUGUGGCCCUCCCUGGAAGGUAAAUCAAAUUAAAUCAUGGCAAUUAUGUACUUUUUUUUUUUUUUCCCUGGGGCCACACCUGUGGUAUAUAGAAGUUCCCAGGCAAGGUGUCAAAUUGAAGCUGCAGCUGCUAGUCUACACAACAGCUAUAGCAAAGCCAGAUCCGAGCUGCAUCUGUGACCUACUGCCACAGCUCGCAGCAAUGCCUUAUCUUGAAUCCACUGACUGGGGCCAGGGAUUGAACCUGCAUUCUCAUAGAUACUAGUCAGGUUUCCUUCCGCUGAACCACAAUGGGAUCUCCCCCAUUAUGUAUGUUUUAAUCUUUAUUGUUUCCAUCAGUUAAUACUGCCGUUUCUAUAGCUCACAUUAAUGUUAUCAUUUAAACAAUGAGCAAGAACUUAAACAUGGUCUGACUUGACCAUAGCAAGAUAGCUAUAGCACAAAGCACUAAUAAGAAGGGAGAACAAACAAGUUAUCUUUCUGGAUACUAUCAUUAAAAGUAUACUGGAGCAUUUUUUCCCCCCAGUUUUAAAAAAGUCUGUCUUUCAAAAAAUUGCGAAAGUCACACAAGCUCCUUAUAAAAACAGUUCCAAUGCAGAAAUUUAUAUAGCAAAAAAGAAAGGUCUCAUCUCCAAAAUCCACUCCUGAGAAUUACUGCUAACAGUUCAGACAAGUAUAGCCUUCCAGUGCUAGUCUGUGCCCACAGAGUGGUAAGAUGACAUUUUGAAAUGUUAAUUGAGGGUUUUUUCCCCCACUGUAUUUCCUGGUGGUCCUGGCCUUUCACCCAUUCCAUCACUUGCCUCAGGGAAAAGAUGACCCAACUGAAUGCACUUAAAAAAGGAAGUCGUCAACUUUUGAGACUCAACAUUUUGAGCCCUUGUGGGAAUAGAAAAAGACCCAGGGGAUAAAAAGCAUUUUUGAAGAAGAUAGGGAAAGUCAGAAGACGCCUUAACACUUUCAAGUCUAGAUAAAAAAAAGAGAACAAUUCUUGUGAGAAGAAAGAGAUUUUAGAGAGGAAGAAAGAACCUCUAGUGGCUUAUGCAGCUUCAUUCUGAAAAUUAGAAAAAUGCCAUAUUUUGGUGUAUGAAUUACCAUAAAGUGCCUUGUUGAGUGGAUCCUUCUCAAGGAUAGUAGCUUAAGUGGCUGACAACACCUUUGUAUACAUUUGUACAAAAGCCCGUCCUCCUUCCAACAGCCUCGGCUUUCUAGAUUUUCUCCCCACUCAUACUCAAGCAAUACCUUUGUGCAUUAUUCAAACCACACGACUGUAUGUGACAUCCUUUCUUAAGGGUCCUGGGAAAGAAGGUCCUCUGCCUUGACUCCCCAGUUCAGGUGAACAUGGUGGUGUAGAGACAGGACUCAAACCAAUUUAUUGAAUCAAAUCUGAAGGUGGAGUGGUUGUGCCCACUUGCAUGGUAGACCUUCGGGCAAGGUGUCAAGAUCCCAGGAAAUGCCACUGGGGUUUGUCUAGACCCAUGGGACUUUAGACAGUCUCUGGGAAUUUCCUAUAGCCUAGCAAGAAUGGAAUGACUCUUGGGAACAACAUGGCAGUAGCUGGGAGAGCCACACUCAGGGAGGAGAGGAUGCAGAAAUGACUAGCGUGAUCCUAAGAUGUGUGACCAGACAGGGUGAAAUGUACCUAGGACCUAGUACUGAGCGAGGAGAAAAUCCAAGACCAGAUGUCUCUUCACCCAUAUCUUGACCGUAGACCAUCUUUCCCGGGACACAACUGCAAUAUCAGUAAUUAACUUUCUAUUAUCACAUAAAAAUAAGGUUAUAACAGAAAAUAAGUUCGUUGUUUUUAGGAAGUUACAUUUCUUGUACAUCUGAAUUUGUAAAUUGAGAUUCACACUUUGUUAGUCUUGUAAUGCUAAUAAAAUUGUAGGUAUAUUAGACAGUAAUCUUUUUGAUGGGCACAUAUUAAUCAACUUCCUUAAAAAAAUUCCCUUCAUAAUUUGGCUUGGGGUAGCAUUUACCUAACCAUUCCCUGGAUGUUUAAGUUGUAUCAGUGUUUCACUCUUAUGAAUGUUACAGCAAUAUUUAUCUUUUUACAUAAACCAACUCUUGUUAGCACAGCCUUUGAAUAAUCUUUUUGUGUACCUAGAUGCAAGGUAUUGAGAGAACUACAUCCCAACUGAAAACGCACACACACACACACACACACACACACACACACACACAGACAUACACAGACACACAUUUUUUUCUUGAAAAAUCAUGUUUGGUUUAAUUUUUUUUUUUUUUUUUUUUAGCACCGAUCUUUUUAUCAAAUGAACUGCUAUUUUGUGGUGUCUGUAUCUUAGUGCAGUGAAGUGGAGGCGCUCUGUAUGGGUGGAGGUACAAAGCCAGGAGAUCUGCUGCUUUGAUCAAUUUGCUCCCCUCCCCAGGGCCUCACCUUUUCCCUGCCCCCGCCUCUGAGUCAGUUCGAAGGUAUAAGAAUGAUACCUAAUCCCUUUCCGUGUUCGCAGAAAUACCGCAGACAAGGCUUUGGAUGUUAGUCUGGAAGAGGGAUGGAAAUCAGGUGUCUUUUAUAACUUUUUUGACUCUUGCCUCUGUGAGUGAGUAUCAACUGCUGUGAGGUUAAUCAUGCUGUCCUUUGUGUUUCUAUAAUACUUAGUAUAUAAUUCAAUUACUGCACUUACCACAUUGUUCUUCACCAAAAAUACUGUUCCAGAAGAGGAACAUUUCCUUUAGCCCUAAAAUCUGCAGAACUUAACCAUAAAACUUGAUGAGUACUAGUUUUUCCAUGAAGACCUUGUGAAUGAAAGAAUGAAUGAAUGAGUCAUACACAUUUGCGCAGUGCUUUAGUAUACUGUAGACAAGCCCUUCUCCAAAUACGUAGAUAUUUUUUAAAAAGUACAAAUGGUCCUAUUUUAGCCUUCCUUAGUCAUCUUUAGAUGGACUAUGUAGGUGUCUAAGAGUUCCUGCUUUAGAGUAGAUUUAUAGAAAAGGAUUGGAAUUGGCCCAAAUGUCUCACAUCAUAUUCCUGCAGCCACCUUUGGUAGAUGACAUAAUGAGAGCAGCAUAUGUACCUAUAACAACUACUACUGUGUGCGAAGGAUGGAUUUGCUACAUGUUAAAUAAAAAUGGAAAUAUGUCUGCUUUUUACAUCUAAGAGUAAGGAGAAUUAAAGGCUGCCCACUCCACCCAAACUUUCAAUUUUGUUACCAGGAUGUGUAGGCGGAAGAUCCCAUAGAAUGCAACACAGAUGGAGUAGAGUAGAGUAUAGAGCCUACGAUAAAUGCUUAGUACGCAAUGGCGAUAUCAUCCCCAAGAGGAUAAUAGUAUUUUCUCCUCUGUGUUUUUAUUUUGACCUAAUUUCAAAUUUCAGAAAAGUUGCCAGACAAUUGCAGAGAAUUUACUUAUACUCUUUACCUAGAGUCUCAAAAAGGUAGAAAUUGAAACUGGCAGACAUGAUACCACUUACCCCUACUUAUUUCAAGUGUGUAUACUAAAAUCGAGGACAUUCUCUUACAUAACUAAGCGUAAUUAUCAAAAUCUGGAAAUUUAACACUGAUAUCUCACUAUUACCUAAUAUACAGACAGAUUUUUCAGAUUGUCCAAACAAAAAAGCAAAAACACAACACCAGCCAAAAACCCA
rnacentral:lncRNA from 1 species